AGAGUUUGAUCAUGGCUCAGAGCGAACGCUGGCGGCGUGCUUAACACAUGCAAGUCGAACGCGCAGCAUUCUGUAGCAAUACAGGGUGUGGGCGCGUGGCGAACGGGUGCGUAACACGUGGAUAACCUUCCUUCAGGUGGGGAAUAACCCAGUGAAAACUGGGCUAAUACCGCAUAACAUGACGAUGGCACAUGCUGUUGUCUUCAAAGGCGCAAGUCGCCAGAAGAGGGAUCCGCGGCCGAUUAGCUUGUUGGCGAGGUAAUGGCUCACCAAGGCAUUGAUCGGUAGCCGGACUGAGAGGUUGGCCGGCCACACUGGAACUGAGACACGGUCCAGACUCCUACGGGAGGCAGCAGUGGGGAAUCUUGCACAAUGGACGAAAGUCUGAUGCAGCAACGCCGCGUGGGGGAUGAAGCUUCUCGGAGUGUAAACCCCUUUCGACCCGGAAGAAUGCCCGCAAGGGUUUGACGGUACGGGUAUAAGAAGCCCCGGCUAACUACGUGCCAGCAGCCGCGGUAAUACGUAGGGGGCCAGCGUUGCUCGGAAUUACUGGGCGUAAAGGGUCUGUAGGCGGUGCGGCAAGUCGAUAGUGAAAUCCCUAGGCUUAACCUAGGGGCUGCUAGCGAAACUGCCGUGCUAGAGUGUGAGAGAGGCGAGUGGAAUUACGGGUGUAGCGGUGAAAUGCGUAGAUAUCCGUAGGAACAUCCGAGGCGAAAGCGGCUCGCUGGAUCACAACUGACGCUGAGAGACGAAAGCUAGGGGAGCAAACAGGAUUAGAUACCCUGGUAGUCCUAGCCCUAAACCAUC
rnacentral:rRNA from 1 species